rnacentral:rRNA from 1 species
ACUCAAAGGAAUUGACGGGGGCCCGCACAAGCAGUGGAGCAUGUGGUUUAAUUCGACGGUAAGCGAAGAACCUUACCGAGGUUUGACAUCCCUGGAAGGCCCUAGAAAUAGGGCUGUGCCUUCGGGAACCAGGUGACAGGUGUUGCAUGGCCGUCGUCAGCUCGUGCCGUGAGGUGUUCGGUUAAGUCCGGUAACGAGCGCAACCCUUGUGAUUUGUUGAAUUUCUCAAAUCAGACUGCCCUGGAAACAGGGAGGAAGGUGGGGAUGAUGUCAGGUCAGCAUGGCCCUUAUACCUCGGGCUACACACGUGCUACAAUGGCCGGUACAACGGGUUUGCCAAGCAGCAAUGCGGAGCUAAUCCCAUCAAAACCGGUCUCAGUUCGGAUUGAAGGCUGCAACUCGCCUUCAUGAAGUUGGAAUUGCUAGUAACCGUAGGUCAGCACACCACGGUGAAUACGUUCUCGGGCCUUGUACACACCGCCCGU